GGGCGGUUAGCUCAGUUGGUUAGAGCACCAGCUCGACACGCUGGGGGUCGUUGGUUCGAGUCCAGUACUGCCCACCA
rnacentral:tRNA from 1 species